GAUGAACGCUGGCGGCGUGCCUAAUACAUGCAAGUCGAGCGAACAGACGAGGAGCUUGCUCCUCUGACGUUAGCGGCGGACGGGUGAGUAACACGUGGAUAACCUACCUAUAAGACUGGGAUAACUUCGGGAAACCGGAGCUAAUACCGGAUAAUAUAUUGAACCGCAUGGUUCAAUAGUGAAAUACGGUUUUGCUGUCACUUAUAGAUGGAUCCGCGCCGCAUUAGCUAGUUGGUAAGGUAACGGCUUACCAAGGCGACGAUGCGUAGCCGACCUGAGAGGGUGAUCGGCCACACUGGAACUGAGACACGGUCCAGGCUCCUGCGGGAGGCAGCAGUAGGGAAUCUUCCGCAAUGGGCGAAAGCCUGACGGAGCAACGCCGCGUGAGUGAUGGAGGUCUUCGGAUCGUAAAACUCUGUUAUUAGGGAAGAACAAAUGUGUAAGUAACUAUGCACGUCUUGACGGUACCUAAUCAGAAAGCCACGGCUAACUACGUG
rnacentral:rRNA from 1 species